rnacentral:rRNA from 1 species
AGUGAACGCUGGCGGUAUGCCUAACACAUGCAAGUCGAACGGCAGCACAGUAAGAGCUUGCUCUUACGGGUGGCGAGUGGCGGACGGGUUAGGACUCCAUCGGCAUCUACUUUUUCGUGGGGGAUAACGUAGGGAAACUUACUCUAAUACCGCAUACGACCUACGGGUGAAAGCAGGGGAUCUUCGGACCUUGCGCGAUUGCAUGAGCCGAUGUCGGCUUAGCUAGUUGGCGGGGUAAAGGCCCACCAAGGCGACGAUCCGUAGCUGGUCUGAGAGGAUGAUCAGCCACACUGGAACUGAGACACGGCCCAGACUCCGACGGGAGGCAGCAGUGGGGAAUAUUGGACAAUGGGCGCAAGCCUGAUCCAGCCAUACCGCGUGGGUGAAGAAGGCCUUCGGGUUGGAAAGCCCUUUUGUUGGGAAAGAAAAGCAGCAGGUUAAUACCCCGCUGUUAUGACGGUACCCAAAGAAUAAGCACCGGCUAACUUCGUG